AACAUCGCGCACCUGCGGGAACCUGCGGAGGGAUCAUUACAAAUCUUUGCGAGUGCUGCCUUGCGUGAUUGUGCGUAGGCGUAGCAUCUCACAUUAGCACAAGGUUGCAAGGCCUUGAUGUUCACGCUUGUUUGUUUGACAGAGUUAGUUGAGACAAUAAUAAAGACAACUUUCAACAAUGGAUCU
rnacentral:misc_RNA from 1 species